UUUUGUGACUGACGGAAAAGUGGAGCACCACGGGGAAACAGAAGUAGAAUGAAUUCGCCGACCGUCUGGGCAGUCU
rnacentral:ncRNA from 1 species